AUUGAACGCUGGCGGCAGGCCUAACACAUGCAAGUCGAGCGAGCGGCGGAAGGGUGAGUAAGGUCUGGGAAACAGACUGAUGGAGGGGGGUAAAUACUGGAAACGGUAGCGAAUACAGCAUACUAUCAGAUGUGACCAGAUGGGAUUAGCUGGUAGGUGGGGUAACGGCUCAACUAGGCGACGAUCCAGAGCUGGUCUGAGAGGAUGACCGGCCACACUGGAACUGCGCCACGGUCCAGACUCCUACGGGAGGCAGCAGUGGGGAAUAUUGCACAAUGGGCGCAAGCCUGAUGCAGCCAUGCCGCGUGUGUGAAGAAGGCCUUCGGGUUGUAAAGCACUUUCAGCGGGGAGGCGUUACCCGCAGAAGAAGCACCGGCUAACUCCGUGCCAGCCGCCGCGGUAAUAC
rnacentral:rRNA from 1 species